AACGAACGCUGGCGGCAUGCCUAACACAUGCAAGUCGAACGAUGCCUUCGGGCAUAGUGGCGCACGGGUGCGUAACGCGUGGGAAUCUGCCUUUCGGUUCGGAAUAACUCAGGGAAACUUGAGCUAAUACCGGAUAACGUCGCAAGACCAAAGAUUUAUCACCGAAAGAUGAGCCCGCGUAGGAUUAGCUAGUUGGUGAGGUAAAGGCUCACCAAGGCGACGAUCCUUAGCUGGUCUGAGAGGAUGAUCAGCCACACUGGGACUGAGACACGGCCUGGACUCCUACGGGAAGCAGCAGUGGGGAAUAUUGGACAGUGGGCGAAAGCCUGAUGCAGCAAUGCCGCGUGAGUGAUGAAGGCCUUAGGGUUGUAAAGCUCUUUUACCCGGGAAGAUAAUGACGGUACCGGGAGAAUAAGCCCCGGCUAACUACGUG
rnacentral:rRNA from 1 species